rnacentral:rRNA from 1 species
UACGUAGGGGGCAAGCGUUGUCCGGAAUCAUUGGGCGUAAAGAGCGUGUAGGCGGCUCGAUAAGUCUGCUGUGAAAGUCCAGGGCUCAACCCUGGAAGGCCGGUGGAAACUGUCGGGCUAGAGUCCGGAAGAGGCGAGUGGAAUUCCCGGUGUAGCGGUGAAAUUCGUAGAUAUUGGGAGGAACACCGGUGGCGAAGGCGGCGACCUGGGUUGACACUGACACUGAGGAGCGAAAGCCAGGGGAGCAAACGGG